rnacentral:rRNA from 1 species
GGCUCAGAAUCAACGCUGGCGGCAUGCCUAACACAUGCAAGUCGAACGCGAAAGUGGCUUCGGCCGCGAGUAGAGUGGCAAACGGGUGAGUAACACGUGGGCGACCUGCCCUCGAGUGGGGGAUAACGUCUCGAAAGGGACGCUAAUACCGCAUGAUAUCCCGCCUUUGAAGAGGUGGAGAUCGAAGCCGGGGACCGCAAGGCCCGGCGCUCGAGGAGGGACCCGCGCCCGAUUAGCUAGUUGGUGAGGUAACGGCCCACCAAGGCAACGAUCGGUAGCCGGCCUGAGAGGGCGGACGGCCACACUGGGACUGAGACACGGCCCAGACUCCUACGGGAGGCAGCAGUGGGGAAUUGUUCGCAAUGGGCGCAAGCCUGACGACGCAAUGCCGCGUGGAGGACGAAGAUCUUCGGAUCGUAAACUCCUGUCGAGCGGGACGAACGGCCCCGGACCCAAUACGUCCGGGGAGUGACGGUACCGCGAGAGGAAGCCCCGGCUAACUCCGUGCCAGCAGCCGCGGUAAUACGGGGGGGGCAAGCGUUGUUCGGAAUUACUGGGCGUAAAGGGCUAGUAGGCGGCCUUCUAAGUCGGACGUGAAAUCCCUCGGCUCAACCGGGGAACUGCGUCCGAUACUGGGGGGCUCGAAUCCGGGAGAGGGAUGCGGAAUUCCAGGUGUAGCGGUGAAAUGCGUAGAUAUCUGGAGGAACACCGGUGGCGAAGGCGGCAUCCUGGACCGGUAUUGACGCUGAAUAGCGAAAGCCAGGGGAGCAAACGGGAUUAGAUACCCCGGUAGUCCUGGCCCUAAACGAUGAAUGCUUGGUGUGGCGGGUAUCGAUCCCUGCCGUGCCGGAGCUAACGCGGUAAGCAUUCCGCCUGGGGAGUACGGUCGCAAGGCU